GGCUGUAUGUGACUGAAAGAAAAAAGGACUUUAGUCAGGAGCUAGUCCUGGCUGUGACAAGAACGCCAGGUUGACGCUGCCAGAGCUGCCAUCCUCGAUGGGAGAGCCAGUUCAAGUGCAGUUUUACUGAAACCAGUUAAUCCAGCUCCAGGAGCUGUCACAUGAUAACCUGACCAGUGGUCACCACAGACCUGUGGACUGCUGAACAGGGCUCACCAGAGCAGGAGCCCACUCUGGAGACGUCACCCUUCUGCAGGAAAUCUAUGCCUGACAGGAGACAAGUGGCCCUCCCCGCUGCCACCCCACCCACUCAAGGACCACCAGGACUCGGCCAUCCGAACCGCCGCCCCUCCUCCCCACUUUAUGGAUGGCCACAGAGCAGAGAGGAAGACGAGUUAAUGCUUGGUGACGGUGAGGGGAAUGUAAGAAGGUAUCGGGCUUUAUGAAAGCUAUUUGGCCGUCUGCCUCAAAGAUCUGAAUCUUGUACCUCUUACCCCACUGAUGCCCUUGUGAGGAUUCCACCAUAAUAAAAUAAUCAAAG